rnacentral:tRNA from 1 species
ACUAUCUUGGCAGACGUAAGUGCAGCAAACUUAGACUUUGUUUAUAUGAUUAAUUAUCUUAGGUAGUA